rnacentral:rRNA from 1 species
AAUAUAUCGGAACGUACCCUGGAGUGGGGGAUAACGUAGCGAAAGUUACGCUAAUACCGCAUACGAUCCAAGGAUGAAAGCAGGGGACCGCAAGGCCUUGUGCUCCUGGAGCGGCCGAUAUCUGAUUAGCUAGUUGGUAGGGUAAAAGCCUACCAAGGCAUCGAUCAGUAGCUGGUCUGAGAGGACGACCAGCCACACUGGAACUGAGACACGGUCCAGACUCCUACGGGAGGCAGCAGUGGGGAAUUUUGGACAAUGGGCGCAAGCCUGAUCCAGCAAUGCCGCGUGAGUGAAGAAGGCCUUCGGGUUGUAAAGCUCUUUUGUCAGGGAAGAAACGGGUCUYUCUAAUACAGAGAGCUAAUGACGGUACCUGAAGAAUAAGCACCGGCUAACUACGUGCCAGCAGCCGCGGUAAUACGUAGGGUGCAAGCGUUAAUCGGAAUUACUGGGCGUAAAGCGUGCGCAGGCGGUUUUGUAAGACUGACGUGAAAUCCCCGGGCUCAACCUGGGAAUGGCGUUGGUGACUGCAAGGCUAGAGUUUGGCAGAGGGGGGUAGAAUUCCACGUGUAGCAGUGAAAUGCGUAGAUAUGUGGAGGAACACCGAUGGCGAAGGCAGCCCCCUGGGUCAAAACUGACGCUCAUGCACGAAAGCGUGGGGAGCAAACAGGAUUAGAUACCCUGGUAGUCCACGCCCUAAACGAUGUCUACUAGUUGUCGGGUCUUAAUUGACUUGGUAACGCAGCUAACGCGUGAAGUAGACCGCCUGGGGAGUACGGUCGCAAGAUUAAAACUCAAAGGAAUUGACGGGGACCCGCACAAGCGGUGGAUGAUGUGGAUUAAUUCGAUGCAACGCGAAAAACCUUACCUACCCUUGACAUGGCAGGAAUCCCGGAGAGAUUUGGGAGUGCUCGAAAGAGAACCUGCACACAGGUGCUGCAUGGCUGUCGUCAGCUCGUGUCGUGAGAUGUUGGGUUAAGUCCCGCAACGAGCGCAACCCUUGUCAUUAGUUGCUACGAAAGGGCACUCUAAUGAGACUGCCGGUGACAAACCGGAGGAAGGUGGGGAUGACGUCAAGUCCUCAUGGCCCUUAUGGGUAGGGCUUCACACGUCAUACAAUGGUACAUACAGAGCGCCGCCAACCCGCGAGGGGGAGCUAAUCGCAGAAAGUGUAUCGUAGUCCGGAUUGUAGUCUGCAACUCGACUGCAUGAAGUUGGAAUCGCUAGUAAUCGCGGAUCAGCAUGUCGCGGUGAAUACGUUCCCGGGUCUUGUACACACCGCCCGUCACACCAUGGGA